GCUCGUUUAGUUUAACGGUAGAACGCCGGCUUUAUAUCCCGGAAGCGCCAGAUUAGCGCGUAGCGAGGGUUCGACUCCCUCAACGAGCACCA
rnacentral:tRNA from 1 species